rnacentral:rRNA from 1 species
ACUCCUACGGGAGGCAGCAGUGGGGAAUAUUGCACAAUGGGCGCAAGCCUGAUGCAGCCAUGCCGCGUGUGUGAAGAAGGCCUUCGGGUUGUAAAGCACUUUCAGUCGUGAGGAAGGUAGUAGUGUUAAUAGCACUAUCAUUUGACGUUAGCGACAGAAGAAGCACCGGCUAACUCCGUGCCAGCAGCCGCGGUAAUACGGAGGGUGCGAGCGUUAAUCGGAAUUACUGGGCGUAAAGCGCAUGCAGGUGGUUUGUUAAGUCAGAUGUGAAAGCCCGGGGCUCAACCUCGGAAUUGCAUUUGAAACUGGCAGACUAGAGUACUGUAGAGGGGGGUAGAAUUUCAGGUGUAGCGGUGAAAUGCGUAGAGAUCUGAAGGAAUACCGGUGGCGAAGGCGGCCCCCUGGACAGAUACUGACACUCAGAUGCGAAAGCGUGGGGAGCAAACAGGAUUAGAUACCCUGGUAGGAUAGCG